rnacentral:rRNA from 1 species
AUGUACAUGCCUACAACAUAAUGUUAAUGCACCGGAUUCCAUUAGAACUCUGCAGUUAAGCGCCCUCGGGCUAGAGUAGUACUAGAAUGGGUGACCACCUGGGAAGUCCUAGUAUUUUACAUU